GUAUGUGUGCCACGUAGCUCAUGGUUAUGAGAUCCUGGACUGUGACUAUUUGAUACACGAGAUGCCUCACACUUAUGUUUGCAGUUGGCCGUGUAUAUCUAUGACUAAAAAAAGGGAAUUCAUGGUUUUAAAGUUUAGAAGAUUUUUCCAUGUUUUCAUGAAAUGUUUACAUUGUUUCAAAAAUACUUAGAUCUAUCAUGUUUUAUGUUAUGGAAAAGUUAUGUAGAAAAUUUCAGAAAAUAGGUAUAUGUUCUUAUGGUGCAUAUAUACAAAUAAUGUGACAUCUUUAAAAUUCCUGCUUAUGCAACAUUUUUCUUGAAACUAAACUACAUUUAAGGACGAGAAAAUUCUAAUUAAAAUAGUUAGGAUUAGUACUGGUUUCGUUUAUAUCUGCAUUUAUUUGAAGGUUGAUUAUCCAUUUGUUAUCUUUGACAGUUGGAAAACUGCAUCAUCCAUGUGAUACUCAUGGUUCGGCUGAUGGCUAUGCCAAAGGUACAUGAGUCAUAUGAGUUUUCUUUGGUUGUCUUAAGUUUUGUUGAUGGCCAUGCCGAAGGUGGAGUGUUAAAUCAAUUCUGUAUUUUUUCCCACUUAGGUAUGCAUAGAUUUUAAUCUUUUGUACAUCCUAAUCUAUUAUUAAUAGAAUCUUUUGCUGACCUUUAGCUAGAAAAAAAUAUUGUUCCAUUUUUUCUCUAAUAUAUGACUUGUGUAGCAGGUAUUUCUUGGAAAAAAUGGUGUUCGAGAUGCCAUUGGUAAGAAGAUGCCAAAAUUGAAAUUGACCUACAUAUUCAAUCACCUUCAUUUCAGAGUUGCAAAGGAAAAGCUUACUGAUUGGAUGUUUAUGACUAUAUCUACUAAGAACAGAGUCAACUUAGUACAGAAUUUGCUUUGGAUCACAUAAAAAUGAGAUUCACUGCCAUUGCAGUGAAUAUUAUAAGCUGAAUAUAGUGCAAAGGUUCCUCCCUUGUAUUCCUGACCAAUCCAGUGUCAUUUGUUGAAUCUUCUUCAGCUAUAUCUCAGUCAAUAAUUCUUCUCUUGCAGCAAAAACCCAACAAGUGAAUUAAAAAAAGAGGACAAAUUAUUAAAAAACAGAGGAAAGAAGUUUCGGUUGAAAGGGGAAACAGGAAUAGCAGCUGCACUUUCAGCUUAUUGUCAUGCAGAGCUUUCUAGCCGCUGGAAGUGCCUACCAUUGUUCAUAUAUUCCUGGGCUUGAUGUUGGGGUUGUCUCAUGUUCUGCAAUUCUUGUAUUUGUGGUCAAUCGAUCUUUUGUGUGGGAAUUAAGGAGGUACCUUAACAAUUAUUAUUUUCCUUUCCAUGGAAAUUUAAUUUUCAUUUUAGUCUUUCAAUUCAAACACUAUAUAUUCCUUGUCAUAGUAGUGUUGGAAGGAAGGGGGCACACAAGAGUUAAGGCUGCCUAAGAGUCCUCUUUCACCCGUACACUAAAGGUGGGGGAGUGAGAGGGUAAUGUAUAAAGGUAAAUAUAUUUCUGAUUCUCAAACCAUGAAGCAGUCUUCUUGUGAGAUCUCGUUUUUACUUUGGUCUUUGUGAGGACGAAAGAGGGGAGGAAAGAAGGAAGAGAAGGCGUUAUCUUGUAUUGGGUUGUGGCAUGACGGUGUUCUCUCUGUCAAGGAAAGAAAGAAAGGUACUGAGUCUUUUAUGUAUUUUUUAAUGACAUGUUUGAAGGUGAGAGUACUAUAAUUUUGUGAAUCCACCUUUGUUUGGUGAAUUUCUUUGUAAUCCAAGAUGUAAUUUUUUCCCUUGAUAUUUUGGUAGCCUCUAUAUUGUCUAGAGAGGAGAUCUUGUAACCCUUUUACUAUUAUAGUGAAAGUUUUUACCUGGACGAGGUCCCGUGGUUUUUUCCCUUUCGUCUGGAAAGGGUUUUCCACGUUAAAAAUGGUGUGCAUUUGUAGAUUGAGUUGAUUUGUUUCAGCGUCAUUACUUAUAUAUACUUUUGUUAUCAUUGUGGAAC